ensembl:lncRNA
GCGUGCUAUUGCAGGACCACGGAUGUUUACUGUGCAUUCGUGCGUAGCUACUUGCUGCACGGAUUACAAACCAAAAUAGGUUAGGCUAAUGAUACAUUAGCUACAAACAGUUGCUUGCACUAAUCCCCAGAGAAGGGUUAACGUAACGGAAGUAGCUCGUUUUUAGGUAGCUAACGUAAUUACAAUACAACGUUUAUUGAUUAGCCAGCAACUUCAGCUACUAGCAAUGUGGAUGCUUUGUAAAAUUAUCCAGCGAUGGUCAACUAAGUGAGAAUAUUACUAGCAGAAAGGAAAGGGGGGAAAUAUAGAAACGUUACCAGUGAUGUGUUCGCUUGCCAAAGCUAACCGUGUGAAGAAAAAGCAUUAGAAGUCAACAUUCCAAAGGUUUCUCUUGCUGGACUUCCUACGUCGGACAUUGAAUAGAUUCCACAGACACCAGAGUGCUGGGUCCUGGUGUUUGGCAUGGCUCAGAUUUUUUGGAAACAUCAAGGGUCCAAGAAUGGGAAGGUUUUUGGAUGUGGUCAGGAAGGAAAGUUUGGACGAAGCAGAAGCACAGACAUUUCCUGUGAUUAAGAACCAAGAACCGUUGACUUCUAGACAACAGGUCAGCGACCCCCUUUCUCAAAGAUUUUGUGACUGAUAUGGGACAGUCAGGAGGGUGUCAGGUUUACCACACGAUUUCGUCUCUGCUCUUUGCGGAUGAUGUUGUCGUGUUGGCCUCUUCAAACCAGGACCUUCAGCAUGCGCUGGGACGGUUUGCAGCCGAGUGUGAAGCGGUGGGGAUGAGAAUCAGUACCUCCAAAUCUGAGGCCAUGGUCCUCAGUCGGAAAAGGGUGGCUUGCUCACUUCAGG